AGCUUUGCGCAGUGGCAGUAUCAUAGCCAAUGAGGUUUAUUUGAGGCGCAAUUAUUGCUAAUGGAAAAAGAUGCAAGAACUCUCAGAAAACAUUAGUUAAAAGCUAGAUGAGC
rnacentral:snRNA from 1 species